AAUGGGUCAGCGACUUAUAUUCUGUAGCAAGGUUAACCGAAUAGGGGAGCCGAAGGGAAACCGAGUCUUAACUGGGCGUUAAGUUGCAGGGUAUAGACCCGAAACCCGGUGAUCUAGCCAUGGGCAGGUUGAAGGUUGGGUAACACUAACUGGAGGACCGAACCGACUAAUGUUGAAAAAUUAGCGGAUGACUUGUGGCUGGGGGUGAAAGGCCAAUCAAACCGGGAGAUAGCUGGUUCUCCCCGAAAGCUAUUUAGGUAGCGCCUCGUGAAUUCAUCUCCGGGGGUAGAGCACUGUUUCGGCAAGGGGGUCAUCCCGACUUACCAACCCGAUGCAAACUGCGAAUACCGGAGAAUGUUAUCACGGGAGACACACGGCGGGUGCUAACGUCCGUCGUGAAGAGGGAAACAACCCAGACCGCCAGCUAAGGUCCCAAAGUCAUGGUUAAGUGGGAAACGAUGUGGGAAGGCCCAGACAGCCAGGAUGUUGGCUUAGAAGCAGCCAUCAUUUAAAGAAAGCGUAAUAGCUCACUGGUCGAGUCGGCCUGCGCGGAAGAUGUAACGGGGCUAAACCAUGCACCGAAGCUGCGGCAGCGACACUAUGUGUUGUUGGGUAGGGGAGCGUUCUGUAAGCCUGCGAAGGUGUACUGUGAGGUAUGCUGGAGGUAUCAGAAGUGCGAAUGCU
rnacentral:rRNA from 1 species